AGCGAACGCUGGCGGCAGGCUUAACACAUGCAAGUCGAACGCCCCGCAAGGGGAGUGGCAGACGGGUGAGUAACACGUGGGAACGUACCCUUUGGUUCGGAAUAACUUGGGGAAACUCAAGCUAAUACCGGAUAAGCCCUUAUGGGGAAAGGUUUACUGCCGAAGGAUCGGCCCGCGUCUGAUUAGCUAGUUGGUGAGGUAAUGGCUCACCAAGGCGACGAUCAGUAGCUGGUCUGAGAGGAUGAUCAGCCACACUGGGACUGAGACACGGCCAAGACUCCUACGGGAGGCAGCAGUGGGGAAUAUUGGACAAUGGGGGCAACCCUGAUCCAGCCAUGCCGCGUGGGUGAUGAAGGCCUUAGGGUUGUAAAGCUCUUUUACCCGGGACGAUAAUGACUGUACCGGGAGAAUAAGCCCCGGCUAACCUCGUGCCAGCAGCCGCUGUAA
rnacentral:rRNA from 1 species